UACGUAGGGGGCUAGCGUUGUCCGGAAUCAUUGGGCGUAAAGAGCGCGUAGGCGGCCCGGUAAGUCCGCUGUAAAAGUCCAGGGCUCAACCCUGGAAAGCCGGUGGAUACUGUCGGGCUCGAGUCCGGAAGAGGCGAGUGGAAUUCCUGGUGUAGCGGUGGAAUGCGCAGAUAUCAAGGAGGAACACCGGUGGCGAAGGGCGGAUCU
rnacentral:rRNA from 1 species